GAUGAACGCUGGCGGCGCGCCUAAUACAUGCAAGUCGAGCGAACAGACGAGGAGCUUGCUCCUCUGACGUUAGCGGCGGACGGGUGAGUAACACGUGGAUAACCUACCUAUAAGACUGGGAUAACUUCGGGAAACCGGAGCUAAUACCGGAUAAUAUAUUGAACCGCAUGGUUCAAUAGUGAAAGACGGUUUUGCUGUCACUUAUAGAUGGAUCCGCGCCGCAUUAGCUAGUUGGUAAGGUAACGGCUUACCAAGGCAACGAUGCGUAGCCGACCUGAGAGGGUGAUCGGCCACACUGGAACUGAGACACGGUCCAGACUCCUACGGGAGGCAGCAGUAGGGAAUCUUCCGCAAUGGGCGAAAGCCUGACGGAGCAACGCCGCGUGAGUGAUGAAGGUCUUCGGAUCGUAAAACUCUGUUAUUAGGGAAGAACAAAUGUGUAAGUAACUAUGCACGUCUGGACGGUACCUAAUCAGAAAGCCACGGCUAACUACGU
rnacentral:rRNA from 1 species